rnacentral:lncRNA from 1 species
GGCCGAGGACCACGGGCCUUAAUUGCAGCCUGGACCACACAAGCUUUAAUCCGCUGGCUUUCUAAUCCGGAGGGUGGGAGUAAACUCCCGCUCGCGGUUACCAUUCCUGGCCCCUCGUGUCCCUGCCCCAACAAAAGAAAAAUGACCUCAGCGUGAUCGCCUACAUAUCGGGUCGCUGUGCCACUGCUACUGCUGGCCUCACAUCCCCUCCCCAGCAUCUCAGAGCAGCACUAAUAGGUGGGUGAUUCUGGGAAAAUGUAUCUGACUCUCAGCUGAUCUGGCAUAGUUCAAGGACAGUAAGCCCUGUUCGUUGACUGAAUGAGGAUGGGAAUCAUCACAGAAUCACAGAAAGUCAAUUGCAAAGAUAUUGACAGGUGCUCAAGCUCAGCUCCCCUCAAGGGGAACCAGCCCUCGGGGAAGUGCUGCCAGGAAGGCAAGGAGCUCUGCAACCUCUGGCUCUUUCCUUCUCGAUCAGAAAAAUCACCAACUAAAGCAGCUUCUGUCACUGAGAAUAAGAAAGCCAGGAGAAAUGACUGGAGCCAUGAAGUCCCUUCUUUAUAAUUUUCCUGAAUACUUUAGAUUGAGUAAAAUAGCCUUAAGAAAGUUGCAUCUAUUUCCGUCAAUAUAUGCAUGUGAGAACAGAUUUUCAACAAUAACUGAUAAAGAUUAAAUCCAGGAAGAAGUAGGAUAUUGUCACUUCAUGUCACACCACCCCAAAAAUAGAUGUGCAAAUUGACAAGCUUGUAUAAAACAAAGUGCACUCAAAUAAAGUAAGAAAAACUGUCA